rnacentral:rRNA from 1 species
GAUGAACGCUGGCGGCGUGCCUAAUACAUGCAAGUCGAGCGAACAGACGAGGAGCUUGCUCCUCUGACGUUAGCGGCGGACGGGUGAGUAACACGUGGAUAACCUACCUAUAAGACUGGGAUAACUUCGGGAAACCGGAGCUAAUACCGGAUAAUAUAUUGAACCGCAUGGUUCAAUAGUGAAAGACGGUUUUGCUGUCCCUUAUAGAUGGAUCCGCGCCGCAUUAGCUAUUUGGUAAGGUAACGGCUUACCAAGGCAACGAUGCGUGGCCGACCUGAGAGGGUGAUCGGCCACACUGGAACUGAGACACGGUCCAGACUCCUACGGGAGGCAGCAGUAGGGAAUCUUCCGCAAUGGGCGAAAGCCUGACGGAGCAACGCCGCGUGAGUGAUGAAGGUCUUCGGAUCGUAAAACUCUGUUAUUAGGGAAGAACAAAUGUGUAAGUAACUAUGCACGUCUUGACGGUACCUAAUCAGAAAGCCACGGCUAACUACGU